rnacentral:rRNA from 1 species
GAGUUUGAUCAUGGCUCAGGACGAACGCUGGCGGCACGCCUAACACAUGCAAGUCGAACGGAGAUAUUUUGGUUUACUGAGAUAUCUUAGUGGCGGACGGGUGAGUAACACGUGAGCAACCUGCCUYUGAGAGAGGGAUAGCUUCUGGAAACGGAUGGUAAUACCUCAUAACAUAACGAAGCCGCAUGACUUUGUUAUCAAAGAUUUAUCACUCAGAGAUGGGCUCGCGUCUGAUUAGAUAGUUGGUGAGGUAACGGCUCACCAAGUCGACGAUCAGUAGCCGGACUGAGAGGUUGAACGGCCACAUUGGGACUGAGACACGGCCCAGACUCCUACGGGAGGCAGCAGUGGGGAAUAUUGCACAAUGGGGGAAACCCUGAUGCAGCGAUGCCGCGUGGAGGAAGAAGGUUUUCGGAUUGUAAACUCCUGUCUAAAGGACGAUAAUGACGGUACUAGAGAG